rnacentral:rRNA from 1 species
AUUGAACGCUGGCGGCAGGCCUAACACAUGCAAGUCGAACGGCAGCACAGAAGAGCUUGCUCUUUGGGUGGCGAGUGGCGGACGGGUGAGUAAUGUCUGGGAAACUGCCCGAUGGAGGGGGAUAACUACUGGAAACGGUAGCUAAUACCGCAUAACGUCGCGAGACCAAAGUGGGGGACCUUCGGGCCUCACACCAUCGGAUGUGCCCAGAUGGGAUUAGCUAGUAGGUGGGGUAAUGGCUCACCUAGGCGACGAUCCCUAGCUGGUCUGCGGGGGUGACCUGCAGCACGGGAACUGAGACACGGGCCAGACUCCUACGGAGGGCAGCAGUGGGGAAUAUUGCACAAUGGGCGCAAGACUGAGGCAGCCAUGCGGCGUGUAUGAAGAAGGCGUUCGGGUUGUAAAGUACUUUCAGCGGGGAAGAAGGCGGUGAGGUUAAUAACCUUGCCGAUUGACGUUAACCGCAGAAGAAGCACCGGCUAACUCCGUGCCAGCCGCCGCCGUAA